rnacentral:rRNA from 1 species
GCAGCCGCGGUAAUACGUAGGUUGCAAGCGUUGUCCGGAUUUACUGGGUGUAAAGGGCGUGUAGGCGGAGAUGCAAGUUGGGAGUGAAAUCCCGGGGCUCAACCCCGGAACUGCUCUCAAAACUGUAUCCCUUGAGUAUCGGAGAGGCAAGCGGAAUUCCUAGUGUAGCGGUGAAAUGCGUAGAUAUUAGGAGGAACACCAGUGGCGAAGGCGGCUUGCUGGACGACAACUGACGCUGAGGCGCGAAAGCGUGGGGAGCAAACAGGAUUAGAUACCCC